rnacentral:ncRNA from 2 species
UCGUUAUCAAGAAAGGUUGAGGGAUUAGACCCUGUGAAACCUUGGCAACCCUCCUGUAAUGGGAGAAGGUGCUACGUUCUACCACGCCAGUCGUGGAUAGAUAACUC